GCCAACGUAGCUCAGUGGUAGAGCAGCGGUUUCGUAAACCGCAGGUCGGCGGUUCAAAUCCGCCCGUUGGCUCCA
rnacentral:tRNA from 1 species